rfam:Ornithorhynchus anatinus chromosome X1, whole genome shotgun sequence.
GGCAGUGUGGCCUUAUGGCUAGAGCGCGGGCCUGGGAGUCAGAAGGACCUGGGUUCUAGUCCCGGCUCUGCCA